rnacentral:rRNA from 1 species
GACGAACGCUGGCGGCGUGCUUAACACAUGCAAGUCGAACGGUAAGGCCCUUCGGGGUACACGAGUGGCGAACGGGUGAGUAACACGUGGGUGAUCUGCCCUGCACUUCGGGAUAAGCCUGGGAAACUGGGUCUAAUACCGGAUAGGACCACUGCCUGCAUGGGUGGUGGUGGAAAGCUUUUGCGGUGUGGGAUGGGCCCGCGGCCUAUCAGCUUGUUGGUGGGGUGAUGGCCUACCAAGGCGACGACGGGUAGCCGGCCUGAGAGGGUGACCGGGCACACGUGGACUGAGAUACGGCCCAGACUCCUACGGGAGGCAGCAGUGGGGAAUAUUGCACAAUGGGCGCAAGCCUGAUGCAGCGACGCCGCGUGAGGGAGGACGGCCUUCGGGUUGUAAACCUCGUUCAGCACCGACGAAGCGCAAGUGACGGUAGGUGCAGAAGAAGGACCGGCCAACUACGUGCCAGCAGCCGCAGUAA